GUGCCAGCCGCCGCGGUAAUACCGGCAGCCCAAGUGAUGGCCGAUCUUAUUGGGCCUAAAGCGUCCGUAGCUGGCCGCACAAGUCCAUCGGGAAAUCCACCUGCCCAACAGGUGGACGCCCGGUGGAAACUGUGUGGCUUGGGACCGGAAGGCGCGACGGGUACGUCCGGGGUAGGAGUGAAAUCCCGUAAUCCUGGACGGACCGCCGAUGGCGAAAGCACGUCGCGAAAACGGAUCCGACAGUGAGGGACGAAAGCCAGGGUCUCGAACCGGAUUAGAUACCCGGGUAGUCC
rnacentral:rRNA from 1 species